rnacentral:sRNA from 1 species
UUUGAAAUGUAGUCGCUGUCAGGGUUGAAUCAAGUGGGCUGUGCUGCUACCCUGCCUCAUUCUUCUGCCUUCACGCCUCUUAAGGUCAUGCUUCACCCCUUCCUCCAUCUGCUGCACCUACCACUGAUUCUACAGAUUCCAUAACAGGACAGAAUUCAAGACAGAGAGAAGAAGAGCUGGAAUUAAUAGACCAACUGCGUAAACAUAUUGAGUACCGGUUGAAAGUGUCUCUACCUUGUGAUCUCGGAGCAGCUCUAACUGACGGUGUUGUUCUUUGCCAUUUGGCCAAUCAUGUGCGACCUCGAUCUGUCCCAAGCAUUCAUGUUCCCUCACCAGCUGUACCUAAAUUAACAAUGGCGAAAUGCAGGCGAAAUGUGGAAAAUUUCCUAGAAGCUUGCAGAAAAAUUGGUGUACCUCAGGACAAUCUUUGUUCCCCUUCCGACAUCCUUCAGCUAAACCUCAGCGUUAAAAGAACUGUUGAAACGCUCCUUUCUCUUGGGGCACACUCAGAAGAAUCCAG